CAGGCGGGCAGUUUGACUGGGGCGGUCGCCUCCCAAAGUGUAACGGAGGCGCGCGAUGGUGGGCUCAGACCGGUCGGAAAUCGGUCGUCGAGUGCAAUGGCAUAAGCCCGCCUGACUGUGAGGCCGACAGGCCGAACAGAGACGAAAGUCGGUCAUAGUGAUCCGGUGGUCCCUAGUGGAAGGGCCAUCGCUCAACGGAUAAAAGGUACGCCGGGGAUAACAGGCUGAUACCCCCCAAGAGUCCACAUCGACGGGGGUGUUUGGCACCUCGAUGUCGGCUCAUCUCAUCCUGGGGCUGGAGCAGGUCCCAAGGGUACGGCUGUUCGCCGUUUAAAGAGGUACGUGAGCUGGGUUUAGAACGUCGUGAGACAGUUCGGUCCCUAUCUUCCGUGGGUGUAGGAUACUUGAGAGGAGUUGCCCCUAGUACGAGAGGACCGG
rnacentral:rRNA from 13 species